rnacentral:lncRNA from 1 species
CCAAUUCCCACAUUCUACAGUUGUUCUCCAUGAACAGAAGAGGUGAUUUAUUCCUUUCCAAUCAUAUUACAAUAUAUGAACUGCCUUCCAGGUUGUGUAAGUAAAAAACAAUUAAUAAAGCGCAAAUCAUUGAAGGGUGGAGUUAUUAAAUAGGACCAUAUAGAAUUAUGUAAUAUAAUAUUCGAGUAUAUAUUUUCUUGCUGACCUUUAUGUUUAGGCAUGAGCAUGAGCCUUUCCUUUCCUCGUUCCUCUCCCCCCUCUCUCUCUCUCUCUCCCUCGCUAUUUGUUUUUGUAUAUAUUUGUCCGGUGACAGAAAGACAUGAAUAUUGUUUAAGCAUGAAGGUUCCGCACUGGCAGGAC